GCCAGCACCAAAGCCUAGCCAAUUAACCAAACAUACUAUACCCAUAUUAAACCAAAUCAUUUGACUAAAAAAGUAUUUGAGAAAGAACUUUAAAACCUAGAGCAACACCACCGCAAGGGAAAAGUGAAAGAAAAAUGAAAGACAUAAAGCACAACAAAGCAAAGAUUUACCCUUGUACCUCUCGCAUCAUGAUUUAGCGAGCAACCCCCAGACUAAGAGCCUUAAGCCUGGUUUCCCGAAACUACGUGAGCUACUUCCGGGCAAUAACACGAAUCAACUCGUCUCUGUGGCAAAAGAGUGAGAUGACCUAGAAGUAGUGGUGAAAAGCC
rnacentral:rRNA from 1 species